AAACAUUAAAAACUUCCCUAAACAAGGCUGCUUUCAGAUGUCUUCUGACAAAGUGGUCCAGAAGUAUGUAUUUACAUAUCUCCUUGACAUCUGAAGGGAGGGCACUCCAUAGGGUAGGAGCCACUACCAAGAAGGCCCUUUGCCUGGUUCCCUGUAACUUCUUUCCAUAAUAUAUCAGUGCAAAAUUGCAUACAAACUGCUGGUUGCACUAAAAUGCUGGUGGAUUUUCAUGAGGACUUUGAAAAAACAAAUUGCCAACUGAGGUGGAAAUGUGGAGAACUGUACUUCAUAAUUAAAAAAAAGGGAAGACACUGAGAAAAACUGAAAUGGAUAGAUUUGGCCAUUCAUCUCCAUCUCUAAACCGCAACCUUUCCCCUCUAGGUCACUUUUCUGUGAGGGAUGCUCAAUCAUGAAACGCCCCACAAAUGAACUUUUCUGAACCCUAAGCCAGUCUGGGGAACAGAACGGUUCUGCUUUCAGGCUAAUUGUCAGUGUCCGUUCUUUGCUAUCCUUUAAUUCAUUUCCCUACCAAACUCGCUCCUUUACAUUCCAGCCCUCCACUGGCAUGUGUCCCCAAUGUUUGCCAAUUCAGGAUACCAUUUCAUAUGCAUCUGACAAAGUGGUCCAGAAAGAGCAUAAGCCAUAAUAAACCGGCCUUGAAAAGUGUCACGAUGCAAACGUCUUCGCUGUUGGAGCUCUGUCGCGAUCCACGCUCCUCUUUGGAACCUCAGACUGCUUUGCUGAGCGAAAGCAAUGAAUUCUAUUUUUACUCACCACCAUCACCUUCUCCUCUAGCCUCAGCUUCCACAACUCGCUGAGUAUCUCCUGAGAGGCAUCUUUGCAAUCCUUCCAGGAAGGCUUGUUUUCCCUGGGCAGCCUCAUCCCCCUGGAAGCAGCAACCAGUAGCAGCAAGAAGCCCAGAAGACAGCUUGCCCUGAGGUUCCUUGAGUUGUUCUGCAUCUCUGAGGAAUUCAGAAAGAGCCUGGGAUGAUUCACGAGGACUUGCCUUGAGACUGAUUGUUUGAGGAACCAGGAUCCCUCUAUUUAUAUUCUCUGCCACAGGUUGACUCAGGCAAAUAGUGGGGAUUUCCCUUCUGGGCCUGACAGGUGGGGAUUGUACUACAACUGCAGUGAUGUCAGGGAGCAGAGCUAAGUCCAGCAGAUCCCAUUCAUGGUGACAGUGACACUGCUAAGUCCACUGGAAGAAAAGCAGAAGUGAUACCAUGGUCUGGGCACUCCAGUGUGGAUUGUGGGUCACCUCAGAAAUUGGUUCAUUUGCCUAAUGGGUUCAGAGCGUAGGCAUCUCCAGGCAGGGUGGGCAAAGCACAAAACUCCCUUUUUUCUCCCUACCUGCACACAGAAAAUCCAAAUCAUACAUCAUCUAAUACCUAUGUCAGAAAAUUAUCCGGGAAGAGGAAACCAAGAAGCUGGUCUUCUAUUUCCCCAGCUCCCACCAGUCCCUCAGCGCCCCUUUCUCCACCACACAUACAAAACCCUCCUUUAAAAAAAUAAAACAAAAAAAUAAAGCCCCUGUUAUUUUCAAACCAGUCAAAAAAAUGACAGGCAAUUGCAAAUGUAAUAACAUUGCCGGUGAUGUGAGCACACAACGUCAUAGAAUCAUCUAGAUGCAGAUCAAUGUCAAACAUGUCUUUUCACAAGUGGCCAGGCAUGGUCAGUAGUUCUUGUCUCUAUCCCAUUGUGUUGAUGAAUUGAAUAAAGGAAUAGCAAGCGGUGGAAAA
rnacentral:lncRNA from 1 species